UUCAGUCCGCGGUCCCUGAUUCAUCUUAUCCAAAACUCCUCCCUUUCCAGCGACGGCAGCGAUGGCGGAGCACGAGCAGGUGAGGGCGGCGCCUUCGUCGGACGGCUAGCCGCGGCGGAGGAGAAGGCGGACGCCAUGGGUGCGGCUACAGACGAGGCGGAGGAGAAGGCGGACGCCGUGGGCUUGCUGCACGGCUACAGCCGAGGCGGAGGAGAAGGCGGACGCCGUGGGCGUUCAUGGAGGAUGGUACGCCGGCCGCGUCAAGUCCCCUGCCCCCGGCCGCCGGCGCCUGUUCUCGGCCUCCAUCGCCCGGAGGCGUGCCCCUGCUGUCGGCCUUCGCGUCUGCUUCGUCUGCAUCACGCCAGCGCCGCCCUCGUCGUCGCGGCGUUCUUCUGCUUCCGGCGUCGCCCCGUCGCCCAUGCGCCGAGUUCUGCUGCGGCCUCUGUUCUUCCGCAACGAGUAGCAGCAGGUCGUCUGCGGUUGCGGCAGCGGUGUAGGCGAGCGAGGCAGAGGAGCGGUCAACACCGGCGUCGAGGGCAAGGUAGGCCGGGCGCAGUGUCCUCCGGCGUGUGGUGGCGCAUUUGUACGGCGCAGGAGGCUGGGCGCGUCGAUUCGGGUGAGGGGAGUGGGGUCCAGAUCUGGUCGAGGACGGGGCAACCGGCGGCGGCGGCGUGGCUGACGCUGGACGGAGAGAGAGGCAGAGCAAGGCACGCCGAAUCGCUGGAUGGCGCACCUCCCCUAGCCUCCUUCCUCUCCCGGUCGUUGGGGAAGCAGGACGGCCACCUCUGCUGGACGCCCUUCCCUGGUCGACGACGAGCGAUGCGGGCUGACACGGUGGCGCCCUUCCGUUGUGGAGUACCGUAGUAGGACGACGGCGUUAAGGUCAACGCCCUGCUCGACGCCCCCAUCUGCUGCUCGAUGCGCCCAUCCCCUCGCUGGUUGAGCUCAACGCCACCUUGCUCUGCCUCCGGCAGUCAUUUCAUCCAAUCUGGCUGGUCCGCUCCCCACCUCGGCGGCUCCUUCAGUCCGGCAGCACACCACGCUCAAGCCUCCACCACCCCAACUCCUCAAGUUACAGUAGACAAGGAGCUCCGCUCUACCUCUCAUCUCUAUUCCUGUCCUGGUGGUCACGGGCUGAUGUUGCUGCUCCUCUCCUUCAGGAUCUAUCUCUUUCUCUUUGUCUCUCACCCUCUCAUGGAUUGACAACUGCAUUCUUCCCAAAUUAAUGUGUGCCUCUGUUCUUGAUAUUACGCCCACACCAUGUUUGAUGUUAUGCUUAUGAGGAGUUGAACUUCAUUUUUUUUCAGGCUUUUCUUUGGUGUAUCAGGCAUUCAGGCUGGUGUAAUUUGUUUUCAGAAGUGAACAUGUUGUACAGUCCAAUGUAUCUACAAAAAUUAAGUUAUGCAGAACUACAGAACUAUUAGCAGCUUUUAAUUAUGUGUACUUAAAAUGGAUUUGGUGUCCAGGACAUGUGGAGUUGAGAUCAGAUGCUCAAAUACGCAGAGUAAUGACAUCCUGUAUGCGCUUGGACACCCAGCAGAUUGAAAAUAUAGAAGCAAAGAUAUCCAAUACGAGGCCACGAUGCCCGACAGAGAUGCAGCCAAUACGCGCCCAAUCUUUAUUUCUUGAUGUUGGAACAACAAAUAAGAGCAUGUUCAUGUUUAUUUAUUAUGGUUUUUUUUCGAGAAAUUUUGGGGAUUUACAAGCUGAAAUUAUUGACUGUCUGAAAAAAUGUUUUAACCAAAACUGUUUGAACAAUGUGCCCUGAUUCUGCAUUCAUGGAACUGUAAAAAAAAUUGAACAAGUUUAGUCGGAGUUUUGUUCCUGUUAAUAUUCCAUUCUUAGUGUCAGUUUCUUUCCACUUGCUCAUCUUUUAAUGUUGAACUAUACAUGUACUUAUUAUUAAAGUUUUGUUGUCUUCCUAAACUAAUUAGAUUUUUUAAGCACUACUGAAUUAAUUGGAUGCCAUCUUAAAUUACCUUCCCUUUGACAUUAUUGUACAGAUUCCUGAAACACUGUCCAGAAUUCCACUGCUACAGAAUUGAAAUUCGAUAGCACAUGGUAAACCAGCUUUGAUUCAGCAGGGUUAUCAGCUUAGAUUCGACUAUUUUUAGUUCCUACAAGAGCAAAUGAUACGCUUAUGUCAGUAGUUUUUAGAUAUAUUCACUGGCUUCAGAUUCUGCUGAUGGAUUUUUAUGCUCUGUUCUGCUUCUAGAGCUUGUGAAUGAUGUUCAUUGUUGUUUGAAAGAUGCACUUUUUUUAUGCCUAUAUGUAAACGAUGCAAUUACUGGCUGAGAGAUACACUUAUUGGUGCUGUUCUGAAAUGAUGUUCAUUACUGUUCUACAGAUGCAGUAGACUGAUGUUUAUUGUUGUUUUGUUAUUGUACAGAACGAGGACGGAUCCAAGGUUGAGUACUGGGUGUGGAACCCCUUCAGAUCCAAGUUGGCUGCUGUUGUACUCUGUGGUGUGGACAACAUCUGGAUUGUCCGAGGAAUUACAGCUUGGGGACUUGGGAGGCGAUCGUAAAAGCUGUGUGCUACAGUGUAAUGCACUAGCAAUAUGUGAAGAUUUUUUUAAGGAGGGGGUUAAUAAACAAUCAGAAAAUUCUUUUGCCCCCUCAGAAAACUAUGUUCCGUGUUUGGCCCCUCUGGGCAUUGAUGUGAAGCUAUACAGUCGUGUAAUAUGACCAAACUCAUCACCUCGGGGUUGAUCACAUUCGUCGUGAAUAGGUGGAUAACAUGACCAUCAUCGACAAUGGUGGCAAGCAAGAGAAGUGGAAUCA